UUUCUCUCUUUGGUUGUUAAUUGAUUAUUUUCUUGAUUUUUUCUUUUUUGUGUUUUUAGUUAAUUAUUUUAGUUUAUUUUAGUUUUAAUAAAUCAUUCUAAUUUGUCGGUUAAAUAAUAGAAAGACGAUAAUUACUAGUACUUUUAGUCUUCGUGGGAACAAUAUCUUACUAACUGUAGCUAUACUAUUUAUCGAUAGGUGCACUUGUCUUUGUCGCAUUUUUAGUUGGUUUCGUGGACAUCACCCAC
rnacentral:lncRNA from 1 species